UACGGGGGGGGCAAGCGUUGUUCGGAAUUACUGGGCGUAAAGGGCUCGUAGGCGGCCAACUAAGUCGGACGUGAAAUCCCUCGGCUUAACCGGGGAACUGCGUCCGAUACUGGAUGGCUUGAGUUCGGGAGAGGGAUGCGGAAUUCCAGGUGUAGCGGUGAAAUGCGUAGAUAUUGGGUGGAACACCGAUGGCGAAGGCAGCCUCCUGGGAUAAUACUGACGCUCAUGCACGAAAGCGUGGGGAGCAAACAGG
rnacentral:rRNA from 1 species